rnacentral:rRNA from 1 species
GAAGCUGGAAUCGCUAGUAAUCGCAGGUCAGCAUACUGCGGUGAAUACGUUCCCGGGUCUUGUACACACCGCCCGUCACACCAUGGGAGCCGGAAAUGCCCGAAGCCAGUGACCCAACCUUAGGGAGGGAGCUGUCGAAGGUGGAGCCGGUAACUGGGGUGAAGUCGUAACAAGGUAAC